rnacentral:rRNA from 1 species
CACCUCUAGCAUUACUAGUAUUAGAGGCAAUGCCUGCCCAGUGACACCAGUUUAACGGCCGCGGUAUUCUGACCGUGCAAAGGUAGCAUAAUCACUUGUUCUCCAAAUAAGGACUUGUAUGAAUGGCCACACGAGGGUUUUACUGUCUCUUACUUCCAAUCAGUGAAAUUGACCUUCCCGUGAAGAGGCGGGAAUAAAAAAAUAAGACGAGAAGACCCUAUGGAGCUUUAAUUAACUACUCCAAAAGUUAAACAAUUCAACCACAAAGGGAUAAAACAUAACUUAACAUGGACUAGCAAUUUCGGUUGGGGUGACCUCGGAGUACAAAAAACCCUCCGAGUGAUUUUAAUCUAGACAAACCAGUCAAAAUAACCAUAACAUCACUUAUUGAUCCAAAAUUUUGAUCAACGGAACAAGUUACCCUAGGGAUAACAGCGCAAUCCUAUUCUAGAGUUCCUAUCGACAAUAGGGUUUACGACCUCGAUGUUGGAUCAGGACACCCAAAUGGUGCAACCGCUAUUAAAGGUUCGUUUGUUCAACGAUUAAAGUCCUA